rnacentral:misc_RNA from 1 species
AAAAAAUCAUGUAAAUUUUUAAUAUGGCCAUUACUACCUGCACAACAUGUAGGUAGAUAGAAUAGAGGUCCAGGGUCAGCACCAAAACCACAUAGACAUGCUAGUCAAUUAUCUCAAUCUAAACUCUUAACAAAUCCUCCAAAUGCAACCACCCCAUUUGGCAAACAAGAGGAAGAGAUGAUGCGUAUAUAUAUAUGCAUAGACUUGGAUACAGACUCACACACAACCAACUUCAAAUUUCCUAUGGCUCGCCAACUUCACUUCACACAAAUACCGCUAAACACAUCACAAGCUGGCAUGGUUGGAAUGGCUCUUCUCUUGUGUGCCUUUGCAUUGUUUAUGUGUGCUUCACAUUCGCGUAAAUGGCGACGCUGGAGCUCUUGUUAUGGUUCUUCCAACCAUGAUCCUGUCAUCCAACUCAAUACUGAAGCUAUGACGCUAAGCACCGGAGUUCAUGCUAUUCAUGGUUGCAGUAACAAUGAACUCAUGUUUAGUGGCGAACAGCAACAGCCAGGAGUUGCAGUUUGGCAGAAGAACAUACUCAUGGGUGGGAAGUGCCAGCUACCAGACUUUUCAGGUGUCAUCAUUUAUGACUCUGAUGGAAAUAUUAUUACCCCUGCAAAAAAUCCCCAUCCCUUGCUCACCUGGAAGUGAUCAACAAUGCCAAUGCUGUAAUAUUCACAUAACUGAUUUCCUGUCAAUCCCUACGAACCAUAUACAUCCUUCUGCGAUAUAAAUAGCUCUGUUAUGGUUUUCUUCAUAGAAGAAAAUAAUUACAAUUUAUGUAUUCAUGGUAGUACGCAGUUUCAACACUGCAAAAACAAAAUGGUAUAAAAUUUCCAAAGAUUGUGAGAAAGCGCCAAUCUGGGAAAAGAACACAAACCGACAUUUCCCGUCACAUUAAACAUUUUAGAUGCUACUACUACAAACAAAAGAGAAAUAAAAGGCAUUUUCUAAUGUAUCAUAAAAUUUUAACAACAAUUAACUGGACCUCGAUGAUUCUUUCUUGUUAGAUGAAGAUGAGCGACCUCUAAGUGGCACAACUCUGAGCUUUGAAGCUGUAGAUUUGACUACAGUGGACUUUUUACUCCCUAUUUUCUUGUUCCCACCUAGAGAUGUUUUACGGGAGACUUCCACUGUCUUCACAACUUUAACAGCCUUGGCAGAUUUUGCUAAGAUAGAUGCUUUUCCAGAUUUAUUUACUGAAGAUGAAGCCUUCGUGAGGUUGCUAGAAGAUUUGACUGUUGCAGCCUUAGUCUUGUUUCUCUGAUUGGAUUGUCUAAUCAAUUUUUCCCUCUUCCCCUUCUGUUCAGUUAUUUGAGCCCUGGAAAUGUCUCUCCGAACAUUAUCUGCAGUAAGGGAUUCCAAGCUCUCAUUCUUCCUUAUUGCCUCCUCAAUUCGGGCAGCCAACAGCACAUCCUUUUUAGCCACCAAGCUUGUGACUUUCCCUGCAAUGGAACGGAACACACUGAUAAAAUUUUCAAAAGACGGAAAAAAUGUGAUCACUACAGGUAUCUUAGAAUUUCUUUAAAUAUAAGAAAAUCCUCUCAAGCAUUGAAAAUUACAAGGAGAAGAGAACAUGGUGUCACAGGUCAAAAACUGCACUAGGUUUCAUGCUGCCAAGUUCAAAAAAUUGAAAUUAGAAAACAUUUAUUUGAGUUCGCAGCAAUUUUGAGUCAUAAGGUGAUAUUUUCCAUAAAUGUACAAAAGUUUCAGUACUUCUUUCCUGAUCCAAAACAAAUUGAUCUUUAAAUAGGUUUAAAAUUUAUUUGAACUUGAAAAACUAUAUAGCUUCAGCAAAUUUCCAAGCUCCAUACCUUUUGCACCCAUUCGAGCAGUUCUUCCUGUGCGAUGAAGGUAAUCGAUCUAUAAGGCCACAAAAAUAAAACAUUAGUCUUUUAUUUGCUUCUAAUUCCAGGCUACAAAAUUGGAGCAGCCAUUCCCCUCCCCAAAAACCUCCCCCAUCUCAGAUGGGCAGGAUUUGGUUCCAAGUUACUGAACCAAGUGCCAAAAGAUAUUGCCAACAUAUUGGCAGCCAAUUUUCAAAUGUUAAAAGGAGAUAUCAAAAGAGGAAACUGAGAAAAAGAAAAGCCAAACUGAGAGAACAUAAUGGAGGGAAAAGGAAAAGAAAAAGUCACUUACAGAGUUCAAGGGGAAAUCAAACAUGAUAACAUGAUCAACAUCCAAGUCAAGCCCCCUAGCUGCCAAGUCAGUACAGACCAAUGUUGGGCAAUCUCCAUCAUCAUUCUUAAACUUUUGUAGAUUUUCAACCCUUUGUUCCGCUGGCACCUCUCCAUGAUAAUUGACAGUAGAAAUCUGAUUUUCAGCAAGAAAGUGAUCCACAGCACGGCUGGAAUUCAAUGUGUUACAGAACACCAUCACCCUGUUUCCCUUUGCUAAACUUGGCUCAAGAACCUGUAACAGUGCUUCCAGCUUGUUUUCAGAACCAGAAAGUUUUAUAAAAUCAUGCCGAGCUGAUGCUAUCUUUUUAUGUAGUGUUGAUGUGCGCAAAUGGACUAUUCCUUGAAAUUCCUCAUCAAUCAGCUUUUGAACUGCCUUUGUCAUUGUUGCAGUGACCAAAAUCGUUUGAUACCCUUGGCCAUCAGGUUUUGAUGCACGGUUUUUUAAUGGGCCUAGAAAUUUGCGAAUAUCAGGACCAAAGCCACGAUCAAACAUGGUGUCUGCCUCAUCUAGCACCAAGUAUUUUAUGUCACCAUAAACCAUAUUCCCAUCCUCAAUAUGUUGAAGAACCCUGCCAGGGGUCCCAACUACCAUAUCGAUAGGGUUAUUUAGUGAGUCUUCCUGUGGCCUCAACCGGCUGCCACCACUAACCAUAGUGGACCUGAAUCGAGCAUGAUGACUGAUAAACUUUGCCACACGAAAAACCUGCUCAGAUAGCUCUCUUGUAGGGCAUAGAACAACAGCUCGAGGACGCCUAGGCUUCAUUAGCAUACCUAGCAUUGCUUCAUCCCGUCUCAGCAACUGAACAAGAGGCAACAUAUAGGCCAAAGUUUUGCCAGACCCAGUAUGUGAGCCCAAGACCACACUUUUGCCUUCCAAAACAGCAGGGAUCCCAAUGCACUGUAUCUCAGUAGGAACCUCAAUCUCCAUCUCCCUCACAGCCCCCAUCACCUCCUCACUAAGCCCAAGCUCCUCAAAGCUUCCCACUAUCUUCUUCCCCCUUUUCGACUUAAAACCAUCUUCAUCUUUCUCGACAGCAACAACUGGUUUUGAUGGGGAUUGGGUUUUGGCUUGUGGGGGUUUUGAGGAAUCCUUGAGGUGCCUCAAUCUCAGCCUCUCUAGAAGGAUUGAGUGCUUCGCUUGGUCUGGUCCCGGAAUUGAGCUAGUGUCGAUUGGUGAGACAGUGGCGGUUGAGGCGGUGCACAAGGGUUUAAACCCCAGAAAAACCCUGCUGGAAUUGGGAAGCCUAAGAAAUGGGUGGUAGUUCUUGGUUGCAGAGGAUAGAGAGAGGCUCAAGAGUGUUCUUGAUGUGCCUGCCAUGGCCACUCUUGUAGGUUUAGGAUUAUGGAUUUUGUUUGGGUUUUUAACUUUCUACUUAUCUGGC